GGAAGACCAAGUGGGAGCCGCCAACGAGGCCAUGGUGCAGGUGGAGUUGAUGGUGGGUGAUGCCAAGGGAGCGUACGACUCCAUCGCGUCUUUGUACAAGAGAAGCUUGGAGCUCCGAGACGAUAUCCGAGUAAGUGUGCUAGUAAGUUUUUACUUCCCUCUUGUAACCCACUGGGUGUCCAAGUGAUAUACUCGGAUACAGUAGGAUUAUUUUGCAAUGGGUUCACUCAUAGUGAACCCAAUGGGUGUAGUCCCCGAGACUGUUGUUGAGUGCUUGCAUCGGCAGUUGUCUUUAUAUGUAUUUCCCGUUAUCUGAGCAGGUCCGAGCGGGUGUGCCCGAAUAUUACCAGUGGGGGCACUCGGAGUGCAUCGACUGGAUGUAGUCCCCGAGAGUAGUGUUACUCGGGUCGGGUUAUAGCAUUCUCGUAGAUUUGCAUGUUCGUCAUGUAGCUCAAUAGGGCCGGCCUGUUCGAGCUUUAUGCCAGUGGGGUCACUCUUAGUGAACCCACUGGGUGUAGUCCCCGAGACCGCUGUCGAGUGCUUGCAUCGGCAAGGGUCUGAAGAACUUUGUUUGUUUUCCUUGUUGAAUGUGUCUGAGCUUUCCUUUGGGCUGAUUUGGCAGAAGACUUGCGAAAUGGGAUCCGCGUACAAUACUCUGAAGGAGGAAAAGGUUCAGCUUGCUGCGGAAUUGGAGGCGGCUGUGAAUGACUUGGCUGGUGUGAAGGGGGCACUUGCUGACCAAGAGAAGUCUUUG
rnacentral:lncRNA from 1 species